AACGAACGCUGGCGGCAGGCCUAACACAUGCAAGUCGAGCGGACCCUUCGGGGUUAGCGGCGGACGGGUGAGUAACGCGUGGGAAUAUGCCCUUCUCUACGGAAUAGUCCUGGGAAACUGGGGGUAAUACCGUAUACGCCCUUUGGGGGAAAGAUUUAUCGGGGAAGGAUUAGCCCGCGUUGGAUUAGGUAGUUGGUGGGGUAAUGGCCUACCAAGCCGACGAUCCAUAGCUGGUUUGAGAGGAUGAUCAGCCACACUGGGACUGAGACACGGCCCAGACUCCUACGGGAGGCAGCAGUGGGGAAUCUUAGACAAUGGGGGCAACCCUGAUCUAGCCAUGCCGCGUGAGUGAUGAAGGCCUUAGGGUUGUAAAGCUCUUUCAGCUGGGAAGAUAAUGACGGUACCAGCAGAAGAAGCCCCGGCUAGCUCCGUG
rnacentral:rRNA from 1 species